rnacentral:rRNA from 1 species
GACGUAGAGCGCGAGCGUUGUCCGGAUUUAUUGGGCGUAAAGAGCUCGUAGGCGGCUUGUCGCGUCGGCUGUGAAACUCCCGUGGCUCAACUGCGGGUCUGCAGCCGAUACGGGCAGGCUAGAGUUCGGUAGGGGAGACUGGAAUUCCUGGUGUAGCGGUGAAAUGCGCAGAUAUCAGGAGGAACACCGGUGGCGAAGGCGGGUCUCUGGGCCGAUACUGACGCUGAGGAGCGAAAGCGUGGGGAGCGAACAGG